UAUAAGUCCAAUAGAAUGUGACAAUCAAGCCCAAGUGUUUGAUAAGUCAUAAGUCCAAACUAGGGUAGCAUAAGCCCAACAAGAAAGUAGUUAGAUUAAUUAACAAAGUCCAAUGAGAAGCAUUGAUCCGUGGGGCAAACCAAGUAUGAAGUGGGUAAGCUUGAUGGGCAAGGAUUUUGUGUGGUGACCAAGUGAUGUGAUGA
rnacentral:lncRNA from 1 species